rnacentral:rRNA from 1 species
GGAAAGGCGAAAAGAACCCCGGCGAGGGGAGUGAAAAAGAACCUGAAACCGUGUACGUACAAGCAGUGGGAGCCUCUUUAUGGGGUGACUGCGUACCUUUUGUAUAAUGGGUCAGCGACUUAUAUUCUGUAGCAAGGUUAACCGAAUAGGGGAGCCGAAGGGAAACCGAGUCUUAACUGGGCGUUAAGUUGCAGGGUAUAGACCCGAAACCCGGUGAUCUAGCCAUGGGCAGGUUGAAGGUUGGGUAACACUAACUGGAGGACCGAACCGACUAAUGUUGAAAAAUUAGCGGAUGACUUGUGGCUGGGGGUGAAAGGCCAAUCAAACCGGGAGAUAGCUGGUUCUCCCCGAAAGCUAUUUAGGUAGCGCCUCGUGAAUUCAUCUCCGGGGGUAGAGCACUGUUUCGGCAAGGGGGUCAUCCCGACUUACCAACCCGAUGCAAACUGCGAAUACCGGAGAAUGUUAUCACGGGAGACACACGGCGGGUGCUAACGUCCGUCGUGAAGAGGGAAACAACCCAGACCGCCAGCUAAGGUCCCAAAGUCAUGGUUAAGUGGGAAACGAUGUGGGAAGGCCCAGACAGCCAGGAUGUUGGCUUAGAAGCAGCCAUCAUUUAAAGAAAGCGUAAUAGCUCACUGGUCGAGUCGGCCUGCGCGGAAGAUGUAACGGGGCUAAACCAUGCACCGAAGCUGCGGCAGCGACACUAUGUGUUGUUGGGUAGGGGAGCGUUCUGUAAGCCUGUGAAGGUGGCCUGUGAGGGUUGCUGGAGGUAUCAGAAGUGCGAAUGCUGACAUAAGUAACGAUAAAGCGGGUGAAAAGCCCGCUCGCCGGAAGACCAAGGGUUCCUGUCCAACGUUAAUCGGGGCAGGGUGAGUCGACCCCUAAGGCGAGGCCGAAAGGCGUAGUCGAUGGGAAACAGGUUAAUAUUCCUGUACUUGGUGUUACUGCGAAGGGGGGACGGAGAAGGCUAUGUUGGCCGGGCGACGGUUGUCCCGGUUUAAGCGUGUAGGCUGGUUUUCCAGGCAAAUCCGGAAAACCAAGGCUGAGGCGUGAUGACGAGGCACUACGGUGCUGAAGCGACAAAUGCCCUGCUUCCAGGAAAAGCCUCUAAGCAUCAGGUAACAUCAAAUCGUACCCCAAACCGACACAGGUGGUCAGGUAGAGAAUACCAAGGCGCUUGAGAGAACUCGGGUGAAGGAACUAGGCAAAAUGGUGCCGUAACUUCGGGAGAAGGCACGCUGAUAUGUAGGUGAAGCGACUUGCUCGUGGAGCUGAAAUCAGUCGAAGAUACCAGCUGGCUGCAACUGUUUAUUAAAAACACAGCACUGUGCAAACACGAAAGUGGACGUAUACGGUGUGACGCCUGCCCGGUGCCGGAAGGUUAAUUGAUGGGGUUAGCGGUAACGCGAAGCUCUUGAUCGAAGCCCCGGUAAACGGCGGCCGUAACUAUAACGGUCCUAAGGUAGCGAAAUUCCUUGUCGGGUAAGUUCCGACCUGCACGAAUGGCGUAAUGAUGGCCAGGCUGUCUCCACCCGAGACUCAGUGAAAUUGAACUCGCUGUGAAGAUGCAGUGUACCCGCGGCAAGACGGAAAGACCCCGUGAACCUUUACUAUAGCUUGACACUGAACAUUGAGCCUUGAUGUGUAGGAUAGGUGGGAGGCUUUGAAGUGUGGACGCCAGUCUGCAUGGAGCCGACCUUGAAAUACCACCCUUUAAUGUUUGAUGUUCUAACGUUGGCCCGUAAUCCGGGUUGCGGACAGUGUCUGGUGGGUAGUUUGACUGGGGCGGUCUCCUCCUAAAGAGUAACGGAGGAGCACGAAGGUUGGCUAAUCCUGGUCGGACAUCAGGAGGUUAGUGCAAUGGCAUAAGCCAGCUUGACUGCGAGCGUGACGGCGCGAGCAGGUGCGAAAGCAGGUCAUAGUGAUCCGGUGGUUCUGAAUGGAAGGGCCAUCGCUCAACGGAUAAAAGGUACUCCGGGGAUAACAGGCUGAUACCGCCCAAGAGUUCAUAUCGACGGCGGUGUUUGGCACCUCGAUGUCGGCUCAUCACAUCCUGGGGCUGAAGUAGGUCCCAAGGGUAUGGCUGUUCGCCAUUUAAAGUGGUACGCGAGCUGGGUUUAGAACGUCGUGAGACAGUUCGGUCCCUAUCUGCCGUGGGCGCUGGAGAACUGAGGGGGGCUGCUCCUAGUACGAGAGGACCGGAGUGGACGCAUCACUGGUGUUCGGGUUGUCAUGCCAAUGGCACUGCCCGGUAGCUAAAUGCGGAAGAGAUAAGUGCUGAAAGCAUCUAAGCACGAAACUUGCCCCGAGAUGAGUUCUCCCUGACUCCUUGAGAGUCCUGAAGGAACGUUGAAGACGACGACGUUGAUAGGCCGGGUGUGUAAGCGCAGCGAUGCGUUGAGCUAACCGGUACUAAUGAACCGUGAGGCUUAACCUUACAACGCCGAAG